GCCCCGGUAGCUCAGUCGGAUAGAGCGACCCCCUCCUAAGGGGUAGGUCGGGGGUUCGACUCCCUCCCGGGGCACCA
rnacentral:tRNA from 1 species